rnacentral:sRNA from 1 species
CAGACCACCGCCCGACGCUCAAACGAGCA